GACGAACGCUGGCGGCGUGCUUAACACAUGCAAGUCGAACGGAAAGGCCCUGCUUUUGUGGGGUGCUCGAGUGGCGAACGGGUGAGUCACACGUGAGUAACCUGCCCUUGACUUUGGGAUAACUUCAGGAAACUGGGGUUAAUACCGGAUAUGAGCUCCUGCUGCAUGGUGGGGGUUGGACAGUUUCGGCGGUUGGGGAUGGACUCGCGGCUUAUCAGCUUGUUGGUGGGGUAGUGGCUUACCAAGGCUUUGACGGGUAGCCGGCCUGAGAGGGUGACCGGCCACAUUGGGACUGAGAUACGGCCCAGACUCCUACGGGAGGCAGCAGUGGGGAAUAUUGCACAAUGGGCGGAAGCCUGAUGCAGCAACGCCGCGUGCGGGAUGACGGCCUUCGGGUUGUAAACCGCUUUCGCCUGUGACGAAGCGUGAGUGACGGUAAUGGGUAAAGAAGCACCGGCUAACUACGUG
rnacentral:rRNA from 1 species